UGAGUACUGUCAACUAUAUGGACGAUUUUGACACCCCCAGAAGUAACGGUACCAAGGUUGCAGAAAUUAUUUGGUACAGGUGUCCAAAUAACCAAUUUGACCCCCCCCCCCCCCCAUCCCGAAGAGACUACGAGAAAGUAACGCGGGGCAGACUCAACCACUCCAGCAAAUAAAGCCAUCUUCAAGGCAAUCCAAGGUUUAAACAAUAACGUUACAUUUGACGAACAAGCUACUCGGCUGAAUGGCUUUGAUGAGUGGAUUUUUAAAUGUAUUUUUUAACUAUCGAUUGCAAACGUUUCCAAAACUACAGAGUUUAAUGCAGCAGGCAUUAAGGAUACCACUAAUGAUGUGAAACUGUUGAAAAAUAAAGUUGAUGCCCUGGCAAAAGAAAACGAGGAGCUGCGCACAGCCAGUGCUGAACCAGACGGAUACAAGCACCGAUGGGGAGCUGAGACUGAACAGGCUUCUUGAAACUGAUGGUGUGUCUCUUUGAUGUGACGAGUUGAGAGGUUCUGCACCUGCUGGAGAGAAAAGGCUUUGCUUUGAUAAGGACCGGAAGAUUGCCAGACAACCAAAGUUCCUGUAUCCCUCCCUGCAUGAAGGUGCUAAAGCAAGCGAAGGUGGCCUUCAUGUUAUUGUAAAGCACUCCCUCAUCCUAUACCUCCCUCCGAUUUUGAUCUGUGAAUAUAAAAUAAUUUUUGUGAUCCUCCCUAAGUUACAUUAGCAUGAUAAUAUAGGUCAGCCUCGAGGGAGCAAAGUGCAAGGUGGUAACAAAAUGAAACAUGCAUGUUUGGGUCAACAGUUCAGCAUAACAAAGGGCCUUUUAGUAAUAAUAUGAUUGGAUGAUGUCCUUGGAACACAAAGCAUAAAAUUGUCAAGUUUUUCCCAUAAAAAACAAAUAUGCCCAUGUGGAUAGAAAAAAAGAGAGAUAUGUUGCAACAAAAAGUAUUCUUGGUCAAACAUUUCAGUAACCGCUGAUAUUGUCUGGAGUCUGUUUCGUCAAGGAUUCAAUUUGCGUAGUCUUAGUGAAUGGCUGUUUGGAAAAAGCUACACUGUUUCCUCAUACUACUAUCUCCACCACCACCUGGACUAGCUGCCUAUUCAGAGGUACCCUCAUCUACAUUAUUAACAAAGAGCUCCAAUGCUGCCCUUCUCCCAGUCACCCUAAAUACAAGUUUACCCUCAUGUUGUACCGGACGAAUAUUCAGCAAGCCAAUUUCGGCAAAUGACAGCCUCUGUAAUUCCCUUUUAUUGCAGAUGACCGUUGCAGUAAUGAAGUUUUGCGCUUUGCAUUUCUUCCAUUACCUAUUCAUUAAAGAUGCGACUGGAAAAUAGAGUUGUCAUGGAGAUGGCUCCGCAAAUUCACACAACAUCCUACGAAUGUUUUCUGUUUACUCUGGUUCCAAGAUAACUAAUGGCAAAAUACCCCCUCCUCCUCUCCCCCACCUCUUUUGCAACCUCACCCUCUUUUUGUGUCCUUCCCUGCCCCUUUCAUACAUUCUCUCUAUUGCUCUCUCUUUCUCUGCCACCCUCACCCUCUCUAAUGAAACAAAUUUGAACUGAUGCAAUGAGCUCACAUUAAGAUGUGUGUUUAUUUCUGCUCAGGCUGGUUCAUUACAGUCUCAACCUCCAGACAAAAACAGUUCUCAUCUUAGGCUGAAAUGAGAAAGAGCCCACUCCACUCAGAGGCAGAGAGAGAAAUGUAAUUUAACAGCAGUGCUACGUGGUCCAACUGAUCUGUCUUUCUGUAGGACAUGGCAGUCAGUCUGCAUUCCCUGCCAACCCAAACAUCCUUGUUACCGUGUGCCUAAGCUUUCCAGAGGCUGUGGUGAUACAGGUACCAGCUAUCUCAUUCCUACAGGGGACCAGAGGAUAAGAUGUCCUGCAAAUGUCCUGAUCAUGGAGGGAGUUUGCCAAGUCGAGAUAAGAACUCCCUAGUUAACCUCUAUAUGGCAGUAACAUUGCUAGCCUUUCACGGAAGUGUGUGUGCAUGUAUGUGUACUGCACAGAGUAGUGGUGGGGCUUGUUAGCUGUAGUCUUGUCCAAGCUGCUGCCUCAUGUCCCAAUUGGAGAGCCGAUUGGUCUGGCGUGUUGUCUCCAGGCAGGAUAAAACACUGGCUCCUACUCCACAUCACACACACUUGUUUUUCACAAGUCCACUCUUUCAUUUUUAGGUGAUGAAUAAGUAGUUGUGUAUGUAAAAUCACCUGUGGGUUGUGUGUAGGAUAAUAUGACCUUAUGUUUAGUGAAAUAGCUAGAUUAAUAUACAACCUGAGGAGGGAAUAUACAAAGAAAAACAUUACAAGGAUGGGUUGAUCCAUCAAACACACAGCACAUGGAAAACAUGUCAAAAGGCGUGAAGACUGUGUCAGUCAGUGAAUCAUUUAAUUAGCUGUAAUCAAAUAACAGCAUCCUUUUUAUCAGGGUGAAUGGGGACUGUUCAUUUGAGUGUGUACAUCACGUUGAGUGCUUGGCCUAUGCCUUUAAUCAGCCUGUAAUUAUCAGACAGAUUCUCAAUGCCACACUAAUUAAGAUAUUCAAACGCUACAUGGGAAAACGUUGUAAUAUGGAGAUUUCCUGCACAACACCAGGGAAAUCUAUGUAAUUCUCAGACCAUUCUCAGUUCAGCUAGACAAAGAUUGAGAGGAUUUGUUAUAGAGAAUGUCUAAAUGACAUUGCAUGUGUAAUUACAUCCGUAUUAACUAUGCAUUAGUGUUCACUUCUGUAUAUUAUCAUUUGCAAAUUAUUAAAUGAAUCCUUUCUAAUGA